rnacentral:rRNA from 1 species
CGAAGGGUGCAAGCGUUACUCGGAAUUACUGGGCGUAAAGCGUGCGUAGGUGGUUUGUUAAGUCUGAUGUGAAAGCCCUGGGCUCAACCUGGGAAUGGCAUUGGAUACUGGCGAGCUCGAGUGCGGUAGAGGGCAGUGGAAUUCCCGGUGUAGCAGUGAAAUGCGUAGAGAUCGGGAGGAACAUCUGUGGCGAAGGCGACUGCCUGGACCAGCACUGACACUGAGGCACGAAAGCGUGGGGAGCAAACAGGAUUAGAUACCCUGGUAGUCCACGCCCUAAACGAUGCGAACUGGAUGUUGGGUGCAACCAGGCACUCAGUAUCGAAGCUAACGCGUUAAGUUCGCCGCCUGGGGAGUACGGUCGCAAGACUG